GAUAAACGCUGGCGGCGUGCCUAAUACAUGCAAGUCGAGCGAACGGACGAGAAGCUUGCUUCUCUGAUGUUAGCGGCGGACGGGUGAGUAACACGUGGAUAACCUACCUAUAAGACUGGGAUAACUUCGGGAAACCGGAGCUAAUACCGGAUAAUAUUUUGAACCGCAUGGUUCAAAAGUGAAAGACGGUCUUGCUGUCACUUAUAGAUGGAUCCGCGCUGCAUUAGCUAGUUGGUAAGGUAACGGCUUACCAAGGCAACGAUGCAUAGCCGACCUGAGAGGGUGAUCGGCCACACUGGAACUGAGACACGGUCCAGACUCCUACGGGAGGCAGCAGUAGGGAAUCUUCCGCAAUGGGCGAAAGCCUGACGGAGCAACGCCGCGUGAGUGAUGAAGGUCUUCGGAUCGUAAAACUCUGUUAUUAGGGAAGAACAUAUGUGUAAGUAACUGUGCACAUCUUGACGGUACCUAAUCAGAAAGCCACGGCUAACUACGUGCCAGCAGCCGCGGUAAUACGUAGGUGGCAAGCGUUAUCCGGAAUUAUUGGGCGUAAAGCGCGCGUAGGCGGUUUUUUAAGUCUGAUGUGAAAGCCCACGGCUCAACCGUGGAGGGUCAUUGGAAACUGGAAAACUUGAGUGCAGAAGAGGAGAGUGGAAUUCCAUGUGUAGCGGUGAAAUGCGCAGAGAUAUGGAGGAACACCAGUGGCGAAGGCGACUUUCUGGUCUGUAACUGACGCUGAUGUGCGAAAGCGUGGGGAUCAAACAGGAUUAGAUACCCUGGUAGUCCACGCCGUAAACGAUGAGUGCUAAGUGUUAGGGGGUUUCCGCCCCUUAGUGCUGCAGCUAACGCAUUAAGCACUCCGCCUGGGGAGUACGACCGCAAGGUUGAAACUCAAAGGAAUUGACGGGGACCCGCACAAGCGGUGGAGCAUGUGGUUUAAUUCGAAGCAACGCGAAGAACCUUACCAAAUCUUGACAUCCUUUGACAACUCUAGAGAUAGAGCCUUCCCCUUCGGGGGACAAAGUGACAGGUGGUGCAUGGUUGUCGUCAGCUCGUGUCGUGAGAUGUUGGGUUAAGUCCCGCAACGAGCGCAACCCUUAAGCUUAGUUGCCAUCAUUAAGUUGGGCACUCUAAGUUGACUGCCGGUGACAAACCGGAGGAAGGUGGGGAUGACGUCAAAUCAUCAUGCCCCUUAUGAUUUGGGCUACACACGUGCUACAAUGGACAAUACAAAGGGCAGCGAAACCGCGAGGUCAAGCAAAUCCCAUAAAGUUGUUCUCAGUUCGGAUUGUAGUCUGCAACUCGACUACAUGAAGCUGGAAUCGCUAGUAAUCGUAGAUCAGCAUGCUACGGUGAAUACGUUCCCGGGUCU
rnacentral:rRNA from 1 species